rnacentral:SRP_RNA from 1 species
GCCGGAAGCAGUGGCGUGUGCCUGUAGUCCCAGCUACUCGGGAGGCUGAUGUGGAAGGAUUGUUUGAGCCCAGGGGUUCUGGGCUGUAGUGCCCUAUGCCGAUUGGGUGUCCGCACUAAGUUCGGCAUCAAUAUCGUGACCUCCCAGGAGCGGGUGACCACCAGGUUGCCUAAGGAGGGGUGACCCAGCCCAGGUCAGAAACGGAGCAGGUAAAAACCUCCGUGCUGAUCAGUAGUGGGAUCGCGCCUGUGAAUAGCCACUGCACCACAGCCUGGGCAACAUAGUGAGACCCCCGUCU